GGGGCGGCUCCGGCUCCGGCUCGCUCCUUCCCGCUGCUCGGCCGCCCUCCGGUGAAGCCGCCGAGGGGCGUUCGGCGCAGCAGCAGCGCGCUGCCGGGAGCGGGCUGGCUGUGCUCGAGCCUCUGGGCCUUGCCUCUGCGUCCGACGGCCGGGGUGUGCACGCAAAAAGCAGCCAGGACGGUGUUGUGUUUUUAUGACCAGUGUAGCGCGUCGGUAAGGAGGCUGGUUUGUGUGCUAGCUGAAUUACGUGUUAAGCUGGAUGGCAACCAGCUUAAAAGCAAACGAACAAAUAAACCCCAAGAUACACUAAUAAAUACACCGAGACGGCAAGCCGACAGCCAACAUGUCUCGAGAGACUGGAAAUGAAGUGCAGCAGUCUCAAGGUGCCCAACAGUCACAGAGUGGUACCAGUUCCUCUUCCAGUGCAUCUCAGAGUGCUAGCCAGUCAUCCUCAAGUUCUGGGACCCUCAGUUCUUUGGACACCGUUCCCACUCAGGAGCUUCCAUCAAUCCCCGAGGAUCAGGAACCUGAAGAGCUUAUUCCUCAGCCUUGGGGUCGACUCUUUGCACUUGGAAAAGGUUUCAGCAAUUGUGAUUGCGUGAAUGAUGAAUACUGGUUUGGAAGAGACAAAAGCUGUGAUUAUAGUUUUUCAAAACUAGGAUUAUCUGAGACUGGCUUCUACCAAAACUAUAGCAAGAAGCACUUCCGAAUUUUUAGGGAAAUGGGUCCAAAAAAUUCCUAUGUUGCCUAUAUUGAAGAUCACAGUGCAAAUGGAACUUUCAUUAAUAGAGAGCUCAUUGGAAAAGGGAAGAGACUUCCACUGACUCACAACUCUGAAAUUGCACUGUCUAUUCAGACUAAUAAGGUGUUUGUAUUUUCUGAUCUUAUGGUGGAUGAUCAGUUGGUGUUUCCUAGAGAAUUCAGAGAGAAAUAUAUCAUGUCAAAGACUUUGGGAAGUGGUGCCUGUGGAGAAGUCAAACUGGCAUUUGAGAAGAGCACUUGUAACAAAGUUGCAGUAAAGAUAAUCAAUAAACGGAAGUUUAUGGCAAGUGGUAUUAGAGAGGCAAACCCAGCUUUUAAUAUCAACACAGAAAUUGAAAUAUUGAAGAAAAUAGAUCAUCCUUGCUUAAUCAAGAUCAAAAACUUCUUUGAAGCAGAGGAUUACUACAUUGUUUUGGAAUUGAUGGAAGGAGGAGAAUUGUAUGACAGAGUGUCAAGGCCAAUCAAGAUGAAAGAAGCUACCUGCAAGUUGUAUUUUUAUCAGAUGCUACUGGCUGUGAAGUAUCUUCAUGACAAUGGAAUUAUACACCGAGAUCUAAAGCCAGAAAAUGUGUUACUUUCAUCCUCUGAAGAGACAUGUCUGAUAAAGAUUACAGAUUUUGGACAAUCCAAGAUUCUUGGAGAAACUUCUCUUAUGAAAACAUUAUGUGGUACUCCCACGUAUCUUGCUCCUGAGGUUCUAAAUUCACUUGGGACUGCUGGAUACAGCCGAGCUGUGGACUGCUGGAGUUUAGGAGUUAUUCUUUUUGUAUGCUUGUGUGGAUAUCCACCAUUUAAUGAGCAAAAUACUCAACUAUCUCUGAAAGAUCAAAUCACUCGUGGAGAAUACACAUUCAUUUCAAAAGAAUGGAAACAUGUAUCAGGCAUGGCUCUGGAUCUUGUGAAGAAGCUGUUAGUAGUGGAUCCGAGCAAACGUGCUACAAUAGAGAAAGCCUUAGACCAUCCUUGGCUUCAGGUAACGUACACUGCCUGCUUGGAAGGCCAACAUCCAAUAUGUUCAGUUCUAGAUAUCACACACCUUGAAUACUACCACCAAAAAAGCUGCUUACAUCUUGUUACCGCGAGUAGUAAGAAGGAGCUACUGGCUCCCCACUCCCUCUUGCGUUGUCUAUCAGUUGUUCAGCUGGUGAACCUACAGUCACUGUUCAAAAGCUCAGCCAAAGGAAAUGAUCUGUAUUAAAUGACUAUGAGCAGCUUACUUCAUUUAGUCCCAGGAAAGGUUUCAAGACCUGAUUUCAGCUUUGGAAGUCUGAUUUAGGGUUUGCAGGAUGAGAAUAUGAAGAAUACAUUUCAACAGCUACUUGCUCAGACAAGUGCCACUAUGAAUCCACCGCAAACAUCAAAAAUGUCAGCCACAACGAGAAAGCGUCUGCAUGAAAAUGAAGAUGAUUCUAUCUCAUCUAAGCGUGCUGUUGCUUCUACAUCAUUUCAGAAAAUGAGGU